AUUGAACGCUGGCGGCAGGCUUAACACAUGCAAGUCGAGCGAACGGCGGACGGGCGAGUAAUGUCUGGGAAACUGCCUGAUGGAGGGGGAUAACUACUGGAAACGGUAGCUAAUACCGCAUACCAUCCGAUGGGCCCAGAUGGGAUUAGUUAGUAGGUGGGGUAAUGGCGCACCUAGGUGACGAUCCCUAGCUGGUCUGAGAGGAUGACCCGCCCCACUGGAACUGAGCCACGGUCCAGACUCCUACGGUAGGCAGCAGUGGGGAAUAUUGCACAAUGGGCGCAAGCCUGAUGCAGCCAUGCCGCGUGUGUGAAGAAGGCCUUCGGGUUGUAAAGUACUUUCAGCGGGGAGGCGUUACCCGCAGAAGAAGCACCGGCUAACUCCGUGCCAGCAGCCGCGGUAAUUC
rnacentral:rRNA from 1 species